rnacentral:lncRNA from 1 species
UAUAUUGAAUAUUUCUCAGUGCAUGGAGAAAGUUACAUAGUGUCUACGUUUGUUCACUGUGCAUGUACAUUUUUGUUCUACCUUCAAAGCUUGUUUGCAGGUUCUAAUGGGGCCCUGAAACACUUUUUGAACAUAGUAAGAAAAUGUUAAUGAUCUGUUAACAAGGCUCCUGUGAAAAUGUGAGCGAAAUAUUAGUGCACUGCAUGUAGCAGAGCAUUUAUAAUCUCGUCUCAAAAGCAGUGAACAGACGCUUGCUCUCGCAUCCGCAAUGUUGUCAUCGAAAUGUUAUUGAAAGCAAUUGGCAGAUUUCGCGAUUGCAAGAAUAUUCUCAGUAAUGGAUGAAUGCUAAUUUUGAGCUGAAUAAAUGAAAAACAUACAUGCAUGCAAUAUCAAAACGACAGGAAAGUAAUUUCAUGUUAGCACUGCAAGGAGCUGCGUCUGCUGCGCGUGGUCUCCGUGAUGGCAACGGCAUGCUGCAUAGCGCAGCCCACUGUGGCCGCCAUGCCAGGCCACUACGAGCCUUGUCGCCGCCGUGACACUGAACUUUUUGAUGGGGCUUUGCCCUCUGAGCUUAUUGGCUGUGUAGCUUCCAGCAUGCUAGCGGCGACGAAAAGGGAGAGAAAGUCGGGUAUUAACUCCACUUAUGGUUGAAGGAGUACAAAAAAUUUUGCACCGCGAGAUUUGUGGGCCAACAUACUUUAAACGUGAGGCCAUUAUAUGGUUAGUUAGAAAACUGGUUCCGCGCCCCUUUAAUAUAUGCUUUUUGUAUACUGGUUGUUCUCAAGUAUGUUAAUAAACAGAAGGCAUUCCUUUUUGUCUUGCUUGCCAUCCUAUUACACUUACAUUGCGAGAUCUGUCCGGAGGGUGCCUUAUGGCCUAAAUGUUUGUUCAUGCACAUCAGGUUUGCUCUGUUGUAAUCAUUAACUUGUUUUUUUAUGUUUCAGAAUUUCAGUCUCAGGUACUCCGGCUGCUAAACAUUGUGAGGCUGACUGCACAGGAAAUUUUGAGCAAUCUGGAUGCCUGUAUGGCUCAAGGCAAGGUGACCUCUGCACCCGCUCUACUAGUGCAGCAGCCGUUUGAGACGGUGGAUGCGCUGCUGAACUUUGAAGCAUCACUUGGUCCAGAGGAUGUUAAUGUCUUGAUCAACGAACUUGUGCAACUUGGGGGCAGAAACCCAAAUGCGGCAGUUAAGCGUAUGCUUGCUUACCUCUUUGCCGAUAAGCUGGCUGCUGAAUACUCGUGGCAUGGGAAGAAAGGAAAAAGGAAGUUCUCUGAUCUUCGACUGUGUCAGCAUUUGUUUACUGCUGUCAGGAAGCGCUUCCCACAAAGUACACGAGAUGAUGUCGAGUCAACCACUAAAUCAUGGCUUCGUCAUGCUCCUGAGAGGACUAAUGGAAGAGAUGGGGCCAGAGAUACGUGAAGGGUUGUUGGAUUGCAGAAGUACGACCGUCACAGGAAGUCGUGUUGUGUGCUGAAGACUUGCAUGCUGAAGUUGCAUGCCAGACCCAUGAACACCCACAUACAAGUGCCUUCAAGUUCCACAAGUUCAAGCACCUGAUAAUUUAUUGUAUUCAAAUGCUAUGAGUAGCAUUCUAGUCUCCCAAAGUCUGUUCUAAUUUUUUAAACAUACAGAGCUGUACUUCCUUUAUGUGUAGCUUUGUUCUGCUUACAAGACUUAUUUUAAGAUUGUAUUUUUAUCUCUUCAGUUGCAUUUGGGGGCCAUGACGAAUGUUCUAAAGCCACAUGUUUCUUCAAUAUGCCACCAAUUCUGUUCAAGUAUUAGAGGUAUUCAAAUGCUAUAAGUGCAUUCUUAUCCCACAGUGUCUUUUAAGUACUGUAAGGUUUUCCAGUACCUUUAGUUCCUUUUAGAGCCAUCAUUUCUUUGUAGUUGCACCAGUGCCAUUCAACUACCAGUGAAUUCAUGUUUUUU